UCUCAUAGAAAUAUGUCAGAUAUUUAGAUAAUAGACACACACAUUGGAAAUACUUCGUGCUGUUCAUUCUCAUCAUAACGGUCAGUCUGUUUUGUUUUAUUCUGCAUUUUAGGUGUGCGAGAUUGAACGGGUCUGUUUUCUGUCAAGAUCACUUGUGAAUUCAUUCAUCAUCUGUUAUGAGGUGUGUUCUUUCUUCAGUGCUUGUGAUGGUUGCGUUUAAAUAACUUUAACGCGUCCGCGGUUAAAAAAACCUGAAAGGUAGUUAAACAUUUGAAAACGUGUUUUAAGGCGCGUCCUUCGUUUCGUUGCGCAGUCUGAACUACUUUGUCUCGCGCCGAGUCGGGGGUACGACGCGAGAUGACGUCACGGACUCCGAACGCUGCCGCGAGCCGCGGGUGCUCAGAUGCAGCCGGUGUGGAGUUGAGCGUUGGAGUGAAGCGAUGAUGAUGAUGAUGAUGACUGAAGAGUCUGUGACAGGUGAUAUUGGGCAGUGUUCUGACUGGACUCACUGGCGCAGAUCCAGAGUGAUAAGUCAUGUACGGCUCAUCUGAUUGGCUGAAAAUCAUCUGUGAGCACCCACGAGGAGAUGCAGCACACAGUUCAUCAACUUCUUAACCAGGUUUACUUCGACUUCAAAUGAAUCACAUCACAUGAAAAGCCACAGUUAUUAAAGAGGUCAACGCUGUCACAUGUGAAGAUAACUGAGAGAUGAGAUUAAAAUGAGCUCAGCGUUUGAGAAAAUGUUGAUGUUUCUGUGUGAAACUGAAGCCAGCGUUUCUCAAAGUGUGGUGCGGUGGGGAAUAGAGACAUGACAGGUGAAUCUCAAUGAAGUCCUUUAUUUAUCGACCAUACACUCAAAACAUUGACACAUUUAAUGGUAAGUCUAACUUAAAUCAACAUGGAACUUAUGGAACCAUAGGAGCCUACGAGAAUGAUUUCUGGUCGGAAUGAUAAUUGGAGCAGAACAAAAAUGUUCUUGUGGAGAGGCGGUAGUGCGUAUAGAAAUGGAUAAGUUUGUGAUGUGGACAAAACAUCCACAUCACAAACCCUACAGUAUGGGGACAAAAAGUGUGUGUGUGUGUGUGUGUGUGUGUGUGUGCACAAGCGUGUGUGUGUGUUCAUGUUUGUAUAUCCCGGUGGGGACCUAAACCUGAAUACACACCAACACAUGGGGACUCGUGUCACUGUGGGGACCAAAAUUGAGGUCCUCAUGGGCACAAAAGCUAAUAAAUUGUACAGAACAAUAUUUUUUACAAAUCUAAAAAUGCAGAAAGUGUUCUAUGAUCUUUAGGUUUAGGGAUAGGGGAUAGAAUAUACAGUUUGUACAGUAUAAAAACAUUACGCCUAUGGACUGUCCCCACGGGGAUAAUAAACCAGACGUGUGUGUGCGUGCGUGUGUGUGUGUGUGCGUGCGUGCGUGCGUGCGUGUGUGUGUGUGUGUGUGUGUGUGUGUGUGAUGACUUUCUGUAUGUUUGUGAUUUUCUGAAGUCUCAUGUUUGUUUGUUUGUGUGUUUCAGGUCUUAUUAUUGAUGCAUUUGGUGAGUUAAGAGACCAACAAGAGCAGGUGAAAGAAGACAUGGAGGUGAGACCACCAUAAAGUCAAUUAUCAUUACAUCAAACUCUAAUUACCUCUGUGGUGUGUACUUUAUGUAUUCAUACGUGUUCUGCAUAAUUCAUGUCUAAAUGAAGUGAAUUCUGAAGACGGAUUGAUUUCUUUUACAAAGAG